rnacentral:rRNA from 1 species
AGAGUUUGAUCCUGGCUCAGGAUGAACGCUAGCUACAGGCUUAACACAUGCAAGUCGAGGGGCAGCAUGGUCUUAGCUUGCUAAGGCCGAUGGCGACCGGCGCACGGGUGAGUAACACGUAUCCAACCUGCCGUCUACUCUUGGACAGCCUUCUGAAAGGAAGAUUAAUACAAGAUGGCAUCAUGAGUCCGCAUGUUCACAUGAUUAAAGGUAUUCCGGUAGACGAUGGGGAUGCGUUCCAUUAGAUAGUAGGCGGGGUAACGGCCCACCUAGUCUUCGAUGGAUAGGGGUUCUGAGAGGAAGGUCCCCCACAUUGGAACUGAGACACGGUCCAAACUCCUACGGGAGGCAGCAGUGAGGAAUAUUGGUCAAUGGGCGGAAGCCUGAACCAGCCAAGUAGCGUGAAGGAUGACUGCCCUAUGGGUUGUAAACUUCUUUUAUAAAGGAAUAAAGUCGGGUAUGCAUACCCGUUUGCAUGUACUUUAUGAAUAAGGAUCGGCUAACUCCGUGCCAGCAGCCGCGGUAAUACGGAGGAUCCGAGCGUUAUCCGGAUUUAUUGGGUUUAAAGGGAGCGUAGGCGGACGCUUAAGUCAGUUGUGAAAGUUUGCGGCUCAACCGUAAAAUUGCAGUUGAUACUGGGUGUCUUGAGUACAGUAGAGGCAGGCGGAAUUCGUGGUGUAGCGGUGAAAUGCUUAGAUAUCACGAAGAACUCCGAUUGCGAAGGCAGCUUGCUGGACUGUAACUGACGCUGAUGCUCGAAAGUGUGGGUAUCAAACAGGAUUAGAUACCCUGGUAGUCCACACAGUAAACGAUGAAUACUCGCUGUUUGCGAUAUACAGUAAGCGGCCAAGCGAAAGCGUUAAGUAUUCCACCUGGGGAGUACGCCGGCAACGGUGAAACUCAAAGGAAUUGACGGGGGCCCGCACAAGCGGAGGAACAUGUGGUUUAAUUCGAUGAUACGCGAGGAACCUUACCCGGGCUUGAAUUGCAACUGAAUGAUGUGGAGACAUGUCAGCCGCAAGGCAGUUGUGAAGGUGCUGCAUGGUUGUCGUCAGCUCGUGCCGUGAGGUGUCGGCUUAAGUGCCAUAACGAGCGCAACCCCUACCGACAGUUGCUAACUGGUCAAGCAGAGGACUCUGUCGGGACUGCCGGCGCAAGCUGUGAGGAAGGCGGGGAUGACGUCAAAUCAGCACGGCCCUUACGUCCGGGGCGACACACGUGUUACAAUGGCAGGUACAGCGGGAAGCCACCUGGCGACAGGGAGCGGAACCCGAAAGCCUGUCUCAGUUCGGAUUGGAGUCUGCAACUCGACUCCAUGAAGCUGGAUUCGCUAGUAAUCGCGCAUCAGCCACGGCGCGGUGAAUACGUUCCCGGGCCUUGUACACACCGCCCGUCAAGCCAUGGGAGCCGGGGGUGCCUGAAGGCCGUGACCGCAAGGAGCGGCCUAGGGUAAAACCGGUGACUGGGGCUAAGUCGUAACAAGGUAGCCGUACCGGUG